rnacentral:rRNA from 1 species
GGGGGAUAUUGCACAAUGGGGGAAACCCUGAUGCAGCGACGCCGCGUGGAGGAAGAAGGUUUUCGGAUUGUAAACUCCUGUCGUUAGGGACGAUAAUGACGGUACCUAACAAGAAAGCACCGGCUAACUACGUGCCAGCAGCCGCGGUAAAACGUAGGGUGCAAGCGUUGUCCGGAAUUACUGGGUGUAAAGGGAGCGCAGGCGGACCGGCAAGUUGGAAGUGAAAACUAUGGGCUCAACCCAUAAAUUGCUUUCAAAACUGCUGGCCUUGAGUAGUGCAGAGGUAGGUGGAAUUCCCGGUGUAGCGGUGGAAUGCGUAGAUAUCGGGAGGAACACCAGUGGCGAAGGCGGCCUACUGGGCACCAACUGACGCUGAGGCUCGAAAGUGUGGGUAGCAAACAGGAUUAGAUACCCUGGUAGUCCACACCGUAAACGAUGAUUACUAGGUGUUGGAGGAUUGACCCCUUCAGUGCCGCAGUUAACACAAUAAGUAAUCCACCUGGGGAGUACGACCGCAAGGUUGAAACUCAAAGGAAUUGACGGGGGCCCGCACAAGCAGUGGAGUAUGUGGUUUAAUUCGACGCAACGCGAAGAACCUUACCAAGUCUUGACAUCCCUUGACAGGCAUAGAAAUAUGUUUUCUCUUCGGAGCAAGGAGACAGGUGGUGCAUGGUUGUCGUCAGCUCGUGUCGUGAGAUGUUGGGUUAAGUCCCGCAACGAGCGCAACCCUUAUGGUCAGUUACUACGUAAGAGGACUCUGGCCAGACUGCCGUUGACAAAACGGAGGAAGGUGGGGAUGACGUCAAAUCAUCAUGCCCUUUAUGACUUGGGCUACACACGUACUACAAUGGCGUUAAACAAAGAGAAGCAAGACCGCGAGGUGGAGCAAAACUCAGAAACAACGUCCCAGUUCGGACUGCAGGCUGCAACUCGCCUGCACGAAGUCGGAAUUGCUAGUAAUCGUGGAUCAGCAUGCCACGGUGAAUACGUUCCCG